AGUUUGAUCCUGGCUCAGAUUGAACGCUGGCGGCAUGCCUUACACAUGCAAGUCGAACGGCAGCACGGGAGCUUGCUCCUGGUGGCGAGUGGCGAACGGGUGAGUAAUAUAUCGGAACGUACCCUAGAGUGGGGGAUAACGCAGCGAAAGUUGCGCUAAUACCGCAUACUAUCUACGGAUGAAAGUGGGGGAUCGCAAGACCUCAUGCUCAUGGAGCGGCCGAUAUCUGAUUAGCUAGUUGGUGGGGUAAAGGCCUACCAAGGCAUCGAUCAGUAGCUGGUCUGAGAGGACGACCAGCCACACUGGAACUGAGACACGGUCCAGACUCCUACGGGAGGCAGCAGUGGGGAAUUUUGGACAAUGGGGGCAACCCUGAUCCAGCAAUGCCGCGUGAGUGAAGAAGGCCUUCGGGUUGUAAAGCUCUUUUGUCAGGGAAGAAACGGUGAGGGCUAAUAUCCUUUGCUAAUGACGGUACCUGAAGAAUAAGCACCGGCUAACUACGUGCCAGCAGCCGCGGUAAUACGUAGGGUGCAAGCGUUAAUCGGAAUUACUGGGCGUAAAGCGUGCGCAGGCGGUUAUGUAAGUCAGAUGUGAAAUCCCCGGGCUCAACCUGGGAAUGGCAUUUGAGACUGCAUGGCUAGAGUGUGUCAGAGGGGGGUAGAAUUCCACGUGUAGCAGUGAAAUGCGUAGAGAUGUGGAGGAAUACCGAUGGCGAAGGCAGCCCCCUGGGAUAACACUGACGCUCAUGCACGAAAGCGUGGGGAGCAAACAGGAUUAGAUACCCUGGUAGUCCACGCCCU
rnacentral:rRNA from 1 species